rnacentral:rRNA from 1 species
UACGGAGGAUCCGAGCGUUAUCCGGAUUUAUUGGGUUUAAAGGGUGCGCAGGCGGGGGAUUAAGUCGGCGGUGAAAUUUUGCAGCUCAACUGUAAAAGUGCCUUCGAAACUGGUUUCCUUGAGUGUAGAUGAAGUAGGCGGAAUUUGUGGUGUAGCGGUAAAAUGCAUAGAUAUCACGAGGAACUCCGAUUGCGCAGGCAGCUUACUAAACUACUACUGACGCUCAGGCACGAAGGCGUGGGGAUCAAACAGGAUUAGAUACCCGCGUAGUCCCU